rnacentral:rRNA from 1 species
GCAAGGUUAACCGAAUAGGGGAGCCGGAGGGAAACCGAGUCUUAAUUGGGCGUUAAGUUGCAGGGUAUAGACCCGAAACCCGGUGAUCUAGCCAUGGGCAGGUUGAAGGUUGGGUAACACUAACUGGAGGACCGAACCGACUAAUGUUGAAAAAUUAGCGGAUGACCUGUGGCUGGGGGUGAAAGGCCAAUCAAACCGGGAGAUAGCUGGUUCUCCCCGAAAGCUAUUUAGGUAGCGCCUCGUGAAUUCAUCUCCGGGGGUAGAGCACUGUUUCGGCUAGGGGGCCAUCCCGGCUUACCAACCCGAUGCAAACUGCGAAUACCGGAGAAUGUUAUCACGGGAGACACACGGCGGGUGCUAACGUCCGUCGUGAAGAGGGAAACAACCCAGACCGCCAGCUAAGGUCCCAAAGUCAUGGUUAAGUGGGAAACGAUGUGGGAAGGCCCAGACAGCCAGGAUGUUGGCUUAGAAGCAGCCAUCAUUUAAAGAAAGCGUAAUAGCUCACUGGUCGAGUCGGCCUGCGCGGAAGAUGUAACGGGGCUAAACCAUGCACCGAAGCUGCGGCAGCGACGCUUAUGCGUUGUUGGGUAGGGGAGCGUUCUGUAAGCCUGUGAAGGUGGCCUGUGAGGGUUGCU